UCCUACGGGGGGCAGCAGUGGGGAAUAUUGGACAAUGGGCGCAAGCCUGAUCCAGCCAUGCCGCGUGAGUGAUGAAGGCCUUAGGGUUGUAAAGCUCUUUCGGCGGGGACGAUAAUGACGGUACCCGCAGAAGAAGCCCCGGCAAACUUCGUGCCAGCAGCCGCGGUAAUACGAAGGGGGCUAGCGUUGUUCGGAAUCACUGGGCGUAAAGCGUAUGUAGGCGGAUCGUUAAGUCGGGGGUGAAAGCCCGAGGCUCAACCUCGGAACUGCCUUCGAUACUGGCGAUCUUGAGUCCGGGAGAGGUGAGUGGAACUGCGAGUGUAGAGGUGAAAUUCGUAGAUAUUCGCAAGAACACCAGUGGCGAAGGCGGCUCACUGGCCCGGUACUGACGCUGAGAUACGAAAGCGUGGGGAGCAAACAGGAUUAGAUACCCGGGUAGUCUG
rnacentral:rRNA from 2 species